rnacentral:rRNA from 1 species
CCUACGGGAGGCAGCAGUGGGGAAUAUUGCACAAUGGGGGAAACCCUGAUGCAGCGACGCCGCGUGAGUGAUGAAGUAUUACAGCGUGUCAAGCUCUAUCAGCAGGGAAGAUAAUGACCGUACCUGACUAAUAAGCUCCGGAUAAAUACGUGACGGCAGCCGCGGUAACACGUCUGGAGCAAGUGUGAUCCGGAUUUACUGGGGGUAAAGGGAACGCAGACGGCAGGGCAAGUCUGAUGGGAAAGUCCGGGGCUCAAACCCGGGACUGCAUUGGAAACUGUCCGCCUAGAGUGCAGGAGAGGUAAGUGGAAUGCCUGGUGUAGCGGUGAAAUGCGUAGAUAUUAGGAGGAACACCAGUGGCGAAGGCGGCGUACUGGACUGUAACUGACGUUGAGGCUCGAAAGCGUGGGGAGCGAACAGGAUUAGAUACCCGUGUAGUC